AGCAGCCGCGGUAAUUCCAGCUCCAAUAGCGUAUAUUAAAGUUGCUGCAGUUAAAAAGCUCGUAGUUGAAUUUCGGGACCAAUAUGUCAGUCGUGCCUCGGUACGUACUGGCAUCGUUGGUUUCUCCCUUCUGACGAACCAUGAUGUCAUUUAUUUGGUGUCGUGGGAAAUCAGGACUGUUACUUUGAAAAAAUUAGAGUGUUUAAAGCAGGCUCACGCUUGAAUACAUUAGCAUGGAAUAAUGAAAUAGGACGUUUGAUUCUAUUUUGUUGGUUUCUAGGAUCGACGUAAUGAUUAAUAGGGAUAGUUGGGGGCAUUAGUAUUCAAUUGUCAGAGGUGAAAUUCUUGGAUUUAUUGAAGACUAACUACUGCGAAAGCAUUUGCCAAGGAUGUUUUCAUUAAUCAAGAACGAAAGUUAGGGGAUCGAAGACGAUCAGAUACCGUCGUAGUCUUAACCAUAAACUAUGCCGACUAGGGAUCGGAUGAUGUUAAUUUUUUAAUGACUCAUUCGGCGCCUUACG
rnacentral:rRNA from 1 species